AGAGUUUGAUCAUGGCUCAGAUUGAACGCUGGCGGAAUGCUUUACACAUGCAAGUCGAACGGCAGCACGGACUUCGGUCUGGUGGCGAGUGGCGAACGGGUGAGUAAUACAUCGGAACGUGCCCAGUCGUGGGGGAUAACGUAGCGAAAGCUACGCUAAUACCGCAUACGAUCUAAGGAUGAAAGCGGGGGAUCGAAAGACCUCGCGCGAUUGGAGCGGCCGAUGGCAGAUUAGGUAGUUGGUGGGGUAAAGGCUCACCAAGCCGACGAUCUGUAGCUGGUCUGAGAGGACGACCAGCCACACUGGGACUGAGACACGGCCCAGACUCCUACGGGAGGCAGCAGUGGGGAAUUUUGGACAAUGGGCGCAAGCCUGAUCCAGCCAUUCCGCGUGCAGGAUGAAGGCCCUCGGGUUGUAAACUGCUUUUGUACGGAACGAAAAGGCUCUGGUUAAUACCUGGGGCUCAUGACGGUACCGUAAGAAUAAGCACCGGCUAACUACGUGCCAGCAGCCGCGGUAAU
rnacentral:rRNA from 1 species